rnacentral:rRNA from 1 species
CUUUACUGUAGCUUUGCAUUGGACUUUGACGGGACUUGUGUAGGAUAGGUGGGAGGCGAUGAGACCGGGACGCUAGUUCCGGUGGAGCCGUCCUUGAAAUACCACCCUGGUGUCGUUGAGGUUCUAACCUAGGUCCAUCAUCUGGAUCGGGGACCGUGCAUGGUAGGCAGUUUGACUGGGGCGGUCUCCUCCCAAAAGGUAACGGAGGAGUACGAAGGUCUUCUAGGUACGGUCGGACAUCGUACUGAUAGUGCAAUGGCAAAAGAAGGCUUGACUGCGAGACCGACAAGUCGAGCAGGUGCGAAAGCAGGUCAUAGUGAUCCGGUGGUUCUGUAUGGAAGGGCCAUCGCUCAACGGAUAAAAGGUA